rnacentral:tRNA from 1 species
GCCUUCGUGGUAUAGCAGUCAGCACUUUCGACGCGUAACCGAGAGGUCCGUGGUUCGAAUCCCGGUGAAGGCG